GUCGAGGGAGCCUCCACGCCCGCUCACACCUUGCCUACACCAUCGUACACUUGCUCAAGAGAGAAGGAAGCCCUUUAUUCCUGGUGGCAAGGGGCAGCUGAAGGUUACAUAGAGCUCAGCUGUGAAACCAUCUGUUCCUGGUGCCUUUUGUGAUGGUGGAUCUUUAACCACCUUUCCAGUCUCCCUGUGGCUCCUGAUGGAUUCGCAUGUCCUCAGCGCUCUGGAGAAGCUGAGAGGCCUGUGCCCACACCUGGAACCCACAGGUUCACGGAGAGAGGAACCAGUGUUUGUGGUCUGCUAUGAACCACCAGCAUUCCUGUCCUGUGUUGUCCCCUCUCAGGAUGACUCUGGACUUGAGUUGUAAGACAUCAGCAGGGGUAAUGGGAGCGAAGACGAGAUAAGCUCUUGUACAUGGAGACAUUUGCCCUCUGGGAAGGUUUGCUCUUGGUGUGUAGUCCCUGGGAACCCAGAAGUCAUACUGCAGAAGCAAAUGAGCCGUACAGAUGGAGAGGCCACCUGCUGAAGCAUGCAGUCUCCAGCUAACCCCCGAAGCAGAGCUCGCACCCAUGUGGAUGAAGGUACCGUGCGAGUGGGUGCUCCAAGUCCAAGUGAGCCGCCCUGACUCUUGCCCGUGGAGCAGAGAUGAUUUGCCUUCACUGAGCCCUGCCCGAAUUUCAGAAUUGUGAGCAAAUAAAUGUUGUCAU